ensembl:lncRNA
CUGAAAGACCCGGCAGCGGGCAUCCUCCUCAGGCUGGAUGAACGGAUGUUGCAUCCGCCACUGCAGAGGGUGAGCAAGGAGCUUGAGCCAGCUUCAGCUGUUACCGUAAGUCUCAGAGGAGCGGCGCAUAGUGAAAAGGUUGGCUAAGAACCCGAAGGCCCGGAGGGCGCCGCGACGUGGAGGUUGGAAGACGUUCCAGGAUCUUGGCCGAUCACACAAUUGGUUAAGUCGCGGGGCCGGGAGCCUUGGUUCCUGACGCCGAGCCGGAAGAGGGUGGAUCACCGCCCCAUUUCGAUUUCGCCGCCGCGCGGGCGGGGUCCCGCCACAGUCCCCAGCGAGGCUGGCCGGAAGAAGCCGGGCGGCCGGAGGCGGCUCUCCAGCCCGCAGGAGCGAGCGAGCUUCGAGGACGCGACCAGAGUGGACGGAAGGAGGCAUCGCUGCUCUCGGCCCGGUCCGAGGGGAGUCCCCCGGCUCCGCGUUCCCGCGGUGGCUCGCCGGGGCCGCGGUCCUGCAGGCCGCGCGGGUCCAUCCGCCCACGGCUUCGCGCUCUCCGGGCCCCGGUCCCUUUCUCCGAACUACGGUGCCGCCGUCUGACCAGCCUCGGAAAAAAAGCCCCAGCUUCCCAGAACUAUUGGAUAUCAUCCAUUGGAUGUGAUGGCAGCAGUAGGAAAACACAGAAAUGUAAGAACAGCACAGCUUUUUCUUAGACCGCAAACAAAAACCUCCCUCUUGGGCUCCACUUGACCACGAUUUAACUACACAAGCCUAUGGACCUGGCUGAGAGAGGGUCUCCCGGGUCACACAGAUCCUGGCCUUGGCCACCUAGCCCUGGGACCUAGCAUGAGUCAUGGACCUUCUGCCUCACUUUUCUCAUCUGUAAGAUUGGAAUAAUAACCCUGUCCAGUUCAUGGGGGUUGGGCAUGAGAGUGAAAUGAGAUACCCCUGCAAAUCACGGGCAUUUAGAAGGUAGUGGGUGCUGGACAAUACUGCCUUAGCCUCCCCAACCUGAGCCAAACUGCCCUGUGUGCUUGUUCCCAAAACCCUCUCUUUCUGCCUGUCCUGGAUCAGAGACACUCUCUAGGCCUGGCACAAGCACUCAGCCUCCUUGCUGCCUGCCCCAGCCUUCAUUCCCCCAUACCUCUCAGCACACUAGGCAUGCUGUCCCUGGGUCCUUAUCUCAGCCUUCAGUGUGAACAUUUAUGUAGCUGUGUCACCCCACCUUUCUCUCACAAACUCACACAUGCACACACUUACAGAUUAUUAAGGCUGUUGGGGGAUGAGUACCACCUUGCCAAGUGGUGCAUAGCACAGAGACUUGCCAGCCCAAUAAAUGUCUGUUGUGGGGCAGGGUGGUAGGUAGAGAAGGCCUGCUCCACCUCUAGCCUCUUCCUCCCAACCCCCACCUCACAGCAUCUUCCCCCCUUUCUCUGCAGCUGGUGGUGCUAAAGACUAAGCCUCCACCCCCUCCCCCCAACUCAGAAGCCAUAUUCACCCUAGCCGUGGUGACAGGUUGAUGACUCCUAUAACGGGCCCCUUUCCUCCUCUGGGGGGUUCCUGCCUCUAUGGAGCCUGGUGGAGGGGCCACCAGCAGGGCCGGAAACCUGGGGAGAACGUUUCUGGCUGCCACUGAUUUCUGUUCCUAGAAUUGUUUUUCUACAAUUAGAACCUUC